rnacentral:rRNA from 1 species
UACGUAGGGAGCAAGCGUUGUCCGGAAUCAUUGGGCGUAAAGAGCGUGUAGGCGGUUCGGUAAGUCUGCUGUGAAAGUCCAAGGCUCAACCUUGGGAUGCCGGUGGAUACUGUCGAACUCGAGUCCGGAAGAGGAGUGUGGAAUUCCUGGUGUAGCGGUGAAAUGCGCAGAUAUCAGGAGGAACACCGGUGGCGAAGGCGGAUCUCUGGGCCAUUACUGACGCUGAGGAGCGAAAGCGUGGGGAGCGAACAGG